rnacentral:rRNA from 1 species
CUAAUUCUAGGUACACCUUCCAGUACACCUACUAUGUUACGACUUAUUUCGUUAUAAACGAAAGCGACGGGCGAUAUGUACAUAAUUUAGAACCUAUAUCUUAUAAGCUUAUUAAACUUAAAAUACAACCAAAUCCUCCUUCACAGUAACUCUUACUUUACUGAUCCAUAUAAGAAGCCUUAUUGUAACUCAUUUCAACUUGUUUAUAAGCUGCACCAUGAUCUAAUUUCCAUAGUCAAUUAUUAUCCAGUAAUUAGUUUUCUUAAAAUUACCUGCUAAUGAUGGUAUACAGACUGAUAGUUACAAAAACAAGUAAGAUUCUGCGUGGCAUAUCGAUCAAGAAACAAGUUCCUCUGGCAAGAUUAAAUCACCGCCAAAUUCUUUAAUUUUUAAGCAACUAACUAUUACUAACUUAGUGAGCUUUGUUUCAGUUUAGAAUAAUAGGGUAUCUAAUCCUAGUGCUUAACUAAACCUUUUUAGCUUCGGCUCGAAUCACUUUGACUUAUAUAAUAGCAGUUUGAUUUUACCCUUUGCUACCUAUAAUUUUCCUUUAUAAUUAUAUCACCUAACUAACUCCUAACUAUUUUUACUUGGCCUCAAAGUAUAACCGCGAAUGCUGGCACAAAUAUUUAUCAGACCUCUCUAUAUUGCUACUAAUUCAUAUCUUCAUACAUAAUUAAUACUUAAUGCUGAGACCACAAACUUUAUUAUUCCACUUACGUUUCUUAAUCUAGCUCACUUAAAGCUACGCUAUUUUUUUCUCGGCAACUCCUUUCAUGCAAUUUUAACAAUAAAAUAAAAACUCAAGCCAAAAUCAAACAUUUAUUAAAGUAAACACGGCCCACUAUGACUCCGACUAAUACCUAUCUCUCAAACCCUGUCAUCAUUUUCAGAAUUUAUAUAAAAUAAACCUUGCCAA